rnacentral:rRNA from 1 species
AUGACGCGCACCACCCGACGCCGCGUGCCGGCGGCGGCCAGCGAACCCUACAACAUCCUGCCCACCCACAACCUCCAGGCCGAGCACCCGUCGCUCCGCUUCCCCGAGGUGAGGGCCGCCGUCGCCGCGCUCCAGGGGUGCGGAUUUCUCGGCCGCCAGACCAACGUCUUGGUUGCUGACGGCGACCUCCGCGCCGACCUGCUCUUCACGGGGCUCCACCUCCUCGUAUGGGGCGAGGCCGCCAACCUCCGCUUCAUGCCGGAGUGCCUCUGCUACAUCUACCACCGCAUGGCGCUCGAGCUGCAUCGAAUCCUGGAGGACGACGUCGACGACAAUGGCCGCUCUGCCAACCCCGCCGUGCAGGGCGAGGACGCCUUCCUCGCCCGCGUCGUUGAGCCCAUUUACGGUGUCAUCCGCGCCGAGGCCGAGUCCAGCUGCAACGGCACCGCGGCGCACGCUGCCUGGCGGAACUACGAUGACAUCAACGAGUACUUCUGGCGGCGCGACGUGUUCGACCGCCUGGGCUGGCCCUUGGACCAGUCGCGGCAGUUCUUCCACACGCCGCCCGAGCGCAGCCGCGUCCGCAAGGCGGGCUUCGUGGAGGUGCGCUCGUUCUGGAACAUUUACCGGAGCUUCGACAGGCUGUGGGUGAUGCUGGUGCUCUACCUGCAGGCCGCGGUGAUCGUGGCAUGGGAUGAGGAUGCUGCGACGUGGCCGUGGCAAAGUCUCAAGGCGCACCGUGAGGUCCAGGUGCACGCGCUUUCCAUUUUCAUCACCUGGGCCGGGCUCCGCCUCCUGCAUACGCUGCUGGAGAUUGGCACGCAGUCUCGCCGGGUCACUGGGGACAGAGACGGUCGCGUGCUUGCCGCGCGCAUGGUGCUCAAGGCCUUUGCGGCGGCCGGGUGGGUCCUCACAUUUUCCCUACUGUACAAGGGGAUCUGGGACCAGAGGGACAUUGAUCAGAGCUGGUCGCCAGCGACUGAUGCACGAAUCAUGGGGUUUUUGUAUGCAGCCGCGGUGUUUGUGCUCCCUGCGGUCCUCGCCAACUUGCUCUUCAUUUUCCCCUGUGUGCGGCGGUAUUGGUAUGCAUUGGAGAUGACAAACUGGAAAAUCUGUUACCCUCUCAGCUGGUGGUUCCAUAGCAGCAUCUAUGUUGGCCGUGGGCUAAGGGAGACUGGCACCUUUGACAAUGUGAAAUAA